CGCCCAAUAGCUAGCCCACUCAUUAACCCCAAAUUCCUCCUCAUUUAUACCCCCAAAUGCACCACUUUCCAAAAACAAACCAUUUUUCCUCCCUAGUACGGGUGACGGAAAAGGACCUAGGAGCAAUAGAGAAAGUACCGCAAGGGAAAGCUGAAAGAGUAAUGAAAUAACCCAGUAAAGCACUAAAAAGCAGAGACACCCCCUCGUACCUUUUGCAUCAUGAUUUAGCCAGAAUAUCUUAAGCAAAAAGCAUUAUAGUUUAAUACCCCGAAACUAGACGAGCUACUCCAAGACAGUCUAAUUUAUAGGACCCCCCCGUCUCUGUGGCAAAAGAGUGGGAAGAGCUUUGAGUAGAGGUGACAGACCUACCGAGCCUAGUUAUAGCUGGUUGCCUGAGAACUGAAUAGAAGUUCAGCCCUUUAAAUUCUCCACCCCCAUCAGCCCUAGGCCUCCUCACCGAGCAAAAGAAAUUAAAGGAGUUAGUCGAAGGGGGUACAGCCCCUUUGAAACAAGACACAACUUUCCAAGGAGGGAAAAGAUCACAACGAACUUAAAGGUCUAGUGCCCUAGUGGGCCUAAAAGCAGCCACCUACUCAGAAAGCGUUAAAGCUCGAGCAUUGCACAACCAACCUUCCAAUAAAGACAACACCAUCUCACCCCCCUUAAACCUACCAGGCCAUUCCAUAAAAAUAUGGAAGCGUACAUGCUAAUAUGAGUAAUAAGAGAAAAUCCCUUCUCUCCCUGCACAAGUGUAUGUCGGAACGAACCCCUCACCGACCAUUAACGGCCCCAAAACAAAGAGGGUACUAGACAAAUAAACAAACAACUAGAAAACCACCUAACAUCUCACCGUUAACCCCACACUGGUGUGCAAACCAGGAAAGACUAAAAGAAAAAGAAGGAACUCGGCAAACAAAAGCCUCGCCUGUUUACCAAAAACAUCGCCUCUUGUCCCUUAGAAAAUAAGAGGUCCCGCCUGCCCUGUGACUAUA
rnacentral:rRNA from 1 species